rnacentral:rRNA from 1 species
UACGAAGGGGGCUAGCGUUGCUCGGAAUUACUGGGCGUAAAGGGCGCGUAGGCGGACAGUUUAGUCAGAGGUGAAAGCCCAGGGCUCAACCUUGGAACUGCCUUUGAUACUGACUGUCUUGAGUUCGGGAGAGGUGAGUGGAAUGCCGAGUGUAGAGGUGAAAUUCGUAGAUAUUCGGCGGAACACCAGUGGCGAAGGCGACUCACUGGCCCGAUACUGACGCUGAGGAGCGAAAGCAUGGGUAGCGAACAGG